ACCAUCGAGUGGGGAAUAACCAGCCGAAAGGCUGGCUAAUACCGCGUACGCUUCCGGGUUUUCGGAUUCGGAAGGAAAGCCAUGCCGUGGGUAUGGCGCUCUUUGAUGAGCUCAUGUCCUAUCAGCUUGUUGGUAGGGUAACGGCCUACCAAGGCUUUGACGGGUAGCUGGUCUGAGAGGACGAUCAGCCACACUGGCACUGCGACACGGGCCAGACUCCUACGGGAGGCAGCAGUAAGGAAUAUUGCGCAAUGGGCGACAGCCUGACGCAGCGACGCCGCGUGGGGGAUGAAGGUCUUCGGAUUGUAAACCCCUUUCGGGAGGGAAGAUGGAACGGGCAACCGUUCGGACGGUACCUCCAGAAGCAGCCACGGCCAACUUCGUGCCAGCAGCCGCGGUAAUACGAAGGUGGCAAGCGUUGUUCGGAUUCACUGGGCGUACAGGGUGUGUAGGCGGUUUGGUAAGCCCUCUGUGAAAGCUUCGGGCCUAACCCGGAAAGCGCAGGGGGGACUGCCAGGCUAGAGGACGGGAGAGGAGCGCGGAAUUCCCGGUGUAGCGGUGAAAUGCGUAGAGAUCGGGAGGAAGGCCGGUGGCGAAGGCGGCGCUCUGGAACGUACCUGACGCUGAGACACGAAAGCGUGGGGAGCAAACAGGAUUAGAUACCCUGGUAGUCCACGCCUUAAACGAUGGAUACUAAGUGUCGGCGGUUUACCGCCGGUGCCGCAGCUAACGCAGUAAGUAUCCCGCCUGGGAAGUACGGCCGCAAGGUUGAAACUCAAAGGAAUUGACGGGGGCCCGCACAAGCGGUGGAGCAUGUGGUUUAAUUCGACGCAACGCGAAGAACCUUACCCAGGUUGGCAUGCACGUAGUAGAAGGGUGAA
rnacentral:rRNA from 1 species